UGCCAAUGAUGACAAGUUUAUUCCUGAUGCUAAUAACUGAGGGUGAAAGCUGAUUUAAUGAGCCUGAUGC